ACGACCGUGAAUCUGAAUGUCACACUGUUCACCGGCUGAUCUUGUGUUUCCACCUUAAAGUUGGCUGUCGUUUUUAAACAAUGUUCUGUCGUUAACUAACUGAUUAAGACUUUCUUUAGUUUUCCAGUUUAUUGCUUCAAAGGGACUACGCGGCUAACGCUUGUGUUGAAAUCUGGGCGGUGGAAAUGCCUUCAGUUGAUUACAUCAUUUACAACGAAGUCAUAUUCAUUUGUUGUAGCAAUUAGAUAUCGAGGCUGUUAUCCUGUCUAGAAGAAUAAGACAUCUUCUGUAUUUGUUUUGGAGUGACAGCCACUACAUUCCUCUGAAAACAUGUUAGGACAGAUAGCGAGAAGACUUGGUCAGCUCCACGGCCAGCAGCAGAUCUGUAAUGGACUGAACGGAGUCCGCUUUAAAGAGACACACCUGCACCUGCACUCCUCAUUCAAGACCGUCAGGCCGAUCUCGACGAUUCCGCUGUGGCCGUUCUCUUCUCGUCCGCGGGACUUCAGCCAGCCCAACUCAUCAUGGAGUCCAGAGAUGCGCAAGGCUUACGAUCAUUAUAUUGCGCUCUGUGACACUGACAAUGAAAAUGGCGAGAAAACAAAGGGGCCUUGGAGGAGGUUGCCCAGCUACAACCGAUCCAUUAAAUAUGCUACUGGUGGCAUCCACCUCAGCAAAUUCAUCCAGGCCGAAAAUCGACUUUUCACAAGAAGUGUUAAAGAGCAAGGCGCAACUUUUGAAUAUGUGGUGUUUGUCAAUAAGGAGGAGAAGAGCUGCGUUUGUGUGUUUCAGUCAGGACGUUUACUAGAGGGUGCACCUGGGCAUGUCCACGGUGGAGCCAUAGCCACCAUGAUUGACACGGUGACAGGUACUCUUGCUGGUUACCUGUCAGGACCCAUUAUGACUGCCAAUCUCAACAUAGACUACCGCAAUCCAAUGCCUCUGGGUAGUGUGGUUUUAAUCCACAGCGCUCUGGAUCGAAUAGAGAGGAGGAAAACAUUCAUCACUUGCAAAGUGACCAGCACUGAUGAGUCCAAACUCUACACUGAGGCCACAGGUUGAUGAUCAGCAGGAACACAUGAGGACCAGGAUGACAAAGAGAAACACUCUUCAUCAUUUCAUUCUGCAGCUCUGUAACUCAAUAACUACUAUUUCUUACUCUCACACAGGUAAUACCUUGAAAGGUACAUAAAGUUUAUGGUUCAACAGCAUGGGAAGGGCAGGCCCAGGGAAACUGAAGACAAGGAGAUAUAGUACUAGGAUGACCUCAGGCACCUGCUCGAAGACUCGAAGAUUGAGCCCCUUUAGCCGCAGUGAAAGGAACAUCUGUGGCAGGAGUAACAGCAGUCUUCUUUGCACCAGCUCUGGCUUGGUCCAUGACACAAACCUUUUUUGGAACAUUUGACAUUCCAAUCACAGCUGAAUGUCUUGGAAUCGGAUGGACCGCAAAGGGAUCUCUGGGACCAAAGUGGCCUUGGCACCAGCUCUGGAUUGAGGCAACUUCAGGCGCCAGAUUUGCUACCUCUUCAGUGGCGACACAGAGUUCUCUUUGGGACUAACUGGAGUUUGGUAGACAUUAGUGCUCCUGUCAGACACAGUGCGGAUUGAUCAUAAUCCAACAUGGUAUGGACUGGAGAAUGGCUGGCAUCAAUGUUUCAGUUGGAAGAGGUGCGAUGGACUGGAGUAUGGGUGACAUCGACACUCCGGUUGGAUGCAGUGCAAUGGACUGGAGUCAGGGUGGCAGAAGUCUGAUGUCAGCAAUCCAGACAGAUGUGGCAUGGACUGGAUUCUGGACAUCAACAUUGCUCCAGUUUGAUGCAGUGUUGACUAAAGGCAGGCCGGCAAUGACAUUCUAGAUGGUUCUAAUCAUGGCACCUCUGUGCAACAUUAAACAGUCUUUAAUGCAGACUUUAAACAAAAAAAGUCACCAUGGAGCCAUAUCACGGUCAUCUAAUUUAUCAUUAGGUACUUUGGCUGCAACAGAGCCUCUUCCUCAUCCUAAAGGGGGUCUUCCUGCUGUAUUUUGUACCAGCUCUCCAACAAGAGGUCCAAUUCCAUAACCUGACUUUUUCUUCUUCCUCUACAAAACCAACUGGAUGUGAAAUGGCUUCCACCAAAUUGGUGUAAGAUAAAUAAUGACCAGUGGCUCUCUAAUGGCCAGUUCUCAUGUGGGGCACAAAGCACCCAUUGGUCCAUUUUACUCUGUGGGUGGGGCUACUGCCUGAGCAUUUAUCUCAAAGUGCCUGUACUGCACUUUCAGAAAGAGCAGAGAAAGUGAUUCCUGAAGUUUUAUAAGAAAAAGACAAAGAUUUAUUCCCUCUGUGUUUGAUGAAUAAAUACUUUUGUCGUUUA